UACGUAGGGCGCAAGCGUUGUCCGGAAUUAUUGGGCGUAAAGAGCUCGUAGGCGGUCUGUCGCGUCUGCCGUGAAAACCCGGGGCUUAACCCUGGGCUGGCAGUGGAUACGGACAGACUAGAGGUAGGUAGGGGAGAAUGGAAUUCCCGGUGUAGCGGUGAAAUGCGCAGAUAUCGGGAGGAACACCGGUGGCGAAGGCGGUUCUCUGGGCCUUACCUGACGCUGAGGAGCGAAAGCGUGGGGAGCGAACAGG
rnacentral:rRNA from 1 species